CUCCAGUUUAACCAGUGAAUGAGUCUCUCUGGUCUCUUUGAUGAAAGCUUCCUUCUCACUCCUCAAAGGGCCGUUCAGGAUGCUGCCAAGUUACGGUUGCAAUGGAGACGGUAUCUCGCAGAGCGCUCAGAGAGCAGAUGUUCUCGUGUGGUAACAUCGCACUCUGCUGUCCACAUCCGCUCACUACACACACAGGGACGCAAGAUCACACGUGCGUUGAGUUUAACUAAUUAGCUCCCCUGCCGCAGCUCGCCUGCCAAGUGGUUUUCUGGUGCGUUUCACUUAAGAGGGAACCGGACAGUACGUUGGUGUCCUCCACUGUAUGGCAGUUCCCAGAAACCAGAACGUGUGUGCACUGUUUUGUUGAGGUCUGUUGUGACUUAAUCUCUUCCUGUUUCACGGGUUAAAGAUUUUUUGAAGUAAAGAAGAGCAUCUCAUCUGAACCUGAUGUCUAUCAUGGAUAUUUAACUGCAGUUCUGUGAGUAUCCCAACUUAACCAUGAAGAUGAACUGCAAACUGUAAGUCAUAAGUUUCUCAUUACUCUUGGGCACAUUGAUGUAUUUUGGCUUCCUGGUGAGUUAACCCGUUACCUGAAGGUUGAUCUGAGUAGUAAGGAUGUUUUAUUGGUUCAUGGGUUACUUAGGUGUUUGGUUUAUGUUGGUUUUAAUGAUUAGUUAAAAUUGUUACAGGCUCCAAGUUAUUGUUGUAAGCUGGAGUAAUGGGUUGGGUUCUGUUAUCUUCAGUCUUCUUUCCAGCUACUCUCCUGAGCUCUGCAUCUUCAUCAUAUGAGUGUUGCUUUACUGUUGAGGGUGGGGUCUGAGUGAGCAGAGGUGCAUACUGGGAUACAGAGCUGUCUCGAGUCUACAGGUCUGAAGACACGCCCCCUCAGGGGAAACCGAGUGUUUGAGAAACCGUUGUGACGUCAGUUACAUGGUCUGGAAUGUUCUUUAAGAUGGAGACAGGGAUUCAGAAGGAGAAACACCAGGGGGAGAUGAGGGGGCUCCUCAUCUCAACGACUAAAACACAACUUCAGUCUGACACAGAGAACCAUGGAACACAUUCAGUCCCCUCCAGGCAUCGUGACUCCUCAGGAACAGGUUUAUUUCCAAGAAGGUCUUAUUUGGGGCCAUCCCCAGAUGGAUCCUGCUCCUCAAGAGCCACCCCCCUCCACUGGGUGGUCUUCUGAACAGAUGACCUCCUUCCUGUCCUCAGGCUGACUAAAGCUGCACCGUUUGCAUCUGUGAAGGCCCCUCAUUCAGGAAACCACUGGACUACAAAGACAUGACUUCAGAGACAUUGAAUAAACCUGGGACACAUUUUGGAGAUGCCAAGCAUAAUCCAUCACCAAUGUGGGACGCCACUGAAGAAUGUUGUACAUAAUUUACGUCUCUGGAGACAUUGGUUGUUCUGUUCUGGGUGCCCUGGCAGGAGAGCUGGUGGUGGAUGAUGGAAUGUUAUUUGGCAUGAGGUUUUUACCCUGCAUGAUUGUUUGGUCUUUUAUGGCUCAGUGGUGUGUGUGUUUGGGUUUGACAUGAGAUGGAUGAUUUUUGAGCAUUGCUUGGGUUCUACUGUGUGUGUCUCCCACACACACCUGGCAUGGGGUUCUACGUGUGUUUGGUUCCACCUGGCAUGGGGUUCUACGUGCCUGUCCUGGGUUCUAUGUGUGUGUCCGGCUUGCUUUGACAGUGAUAAUGUUCAUACAGGGUUCUGUGUGAUUGGCUUGGGAUAUUGGAAUGGUCAAAUAAAUCAUACCUGAUGGAUGACCACACGUUUACUUGAGGCCUCCAGUAGACAUGAAGAGCCCUGAGCGACGCUCCGGAGUGAUAUCCAACACACUGGGCAGGAAGGAGAGUAUCCAACUCAAGUGUAAAAGGAUGCAAGCGGGUGUUCAAAUCAGUGACUUCAAACUAGGACUACACCAAUCAGGAUCAAUGGAGGAUGGACACCUAAAGGCAUUCCACAAGGAGAGUCUGAAGUUGGAAAGGAACCUAAAUUGGUAUUCAAGAUGACCUUCAGACCUGUAAUGAGACGGCUCUUCCUACCUGGCUGGAUUGAUGGAGAGCCCUGUGGAUCUUGUCUUGCUCUCCGUUGCACAUCUUCUCAGGCUGUACUGUAUUUGUUUCGGACAGGACUAGCUGAACGAUUGGUUCCCUUAAAUCAGAACAAAUCUGGGAACUCCAACUAGUGCGCUCUUCGAGCUGAAGUUGUGCUCUUCAGCUGAGGAGGUAAGGAAACCUUCACUGGGGCUUCAAGGUGUAAAGAGGAGAAUGUUUCAAAGUGUUCCAUGGUACUCUGAUGAAGACCCUUGUUGUGUUCCACUGGCUGAGAGGAAGAACCCUCACAUCUUCCUCUUGGCCUUUCUCCUCUGAGAAUCCUGGCGCCAUCUAGAAGGAUAUUCCAGCUCGUGUAACUGUUGUCACGACAGAUUCUCAAACACUUGGUUUCUCCUGAGGGGCAUGUCUAUAGAACUGAAGACUUCAGACAGCACUGUAUCCCAGCAUGCAUCUCUGCUCACUCAGACCACACCCCAAUGAGUAGGAUGCAACACUCUAGUGAUGGAGAUGUAGAGUUUUAUAAGUAACGAGGGAGCAGACAAAGGUGAUUAGAACAUGUCAAGUCGGUAAAUCUUUAAACCAUGAAGAUGGUUGGAUAGUUCAGGAAUUGGGUUUCUUUUUAUUAUGGGCAGUCCUUUCACUCAGAUGCCCACAUCUCACUGGACCUGUACAUGUGUUGGCUGGCUUGCAUGAUUUGCUGUUGGUGAUGAGGCGGUCAGGUUGACAUUGCAGGGCUAUGUUUGGCUCUCUGUGAGCUCAAUGUUUAGAUUUGCUCUGUAUGGUUUGUAUCCUGAAUAAUCUAGAUAAUUGUAAAAUGUAGACACGGUUUUGUAUUGAAUGAUUUUAGGUUUAAAGUUGUUGUGGGAAGUACAUGGUAGUUUGGUUCUUCAUACGGUUUUGAGUGAUUUAAUUUGUACACACUGGGUGCAUAAUAAUGUGAAGGUACACUGAAUAGUAUUAAUGACCAACAGCAACAAACAGAUCUCCUCAAGGUAAGUCUGUUGGCUGUGUGUUAAUGAAGACCAUCGCUGGACUUCAGGAUGUUCCUCCGUUCAGCUCAAGGUUAAGCGCUGGAUCUGUUUUUUCUUUGGUUGGUUCCGGCCGGAAUGUUCGGAUUCCAGUCGGACGGUUUGUGCUUCCCGCCGUGGAAGGUUCUGAGUGCGGUUACUUGAUUUAGUCCCAAUGGUUAGCAUAGAACAUUGUAGUCUUGACAACCAUAAGAAACCACCUGGCAGUUAGUUGGACGGGAGCCCCCUGAGGGAAAUCUGGCGGAACGUUCCGGAUUGUAUUUGCGUAACCUCGAGCCGUUGCCAACGGAAACAAUUUUUCAGUCGUUUCCAUUGGGAAUUGUUGCCCCUUAUCUUAAACAACUUAAGUUUGAUAUUAAAUACAUAUUGACACGUACGUCGUAUAUGUUGAUAAUUUCCGAUGGUUGCGCCAUACUUUUAACCACGUUGACGUGACGGGACUCUCGUUGCGUACAAAACAGCGUUCUACUUGCGGGUCCAUUUUGACAUCAGUGAAGGCUGAAAAUCAUUUCAAGGUGGAAGACAAUUUGACAUUUCUUCAACUGAACCCAGCACCUGAAUAUGGCUGAGUAUAUUUGAUUUAAUAUUGAUACUGCUUAGUGUUCUUUGUUACUUCAGCUUUUGUAUGUUCUAAAUAUCUGCUGUCAUUAAUUGCCACAGAAAUUAAACCCUACCCAAUGGAAUGACGUUAAACAACGACUUUGGUGCAGAGUUACCAACUAGAUAAUAUCAAAGCUAAAAUAAUGGCCGUCCUUCCCACAUGUUAAAGUAGAAGAUACUCUAGAACUGUGCAAGGUUAAACAGGUAACAUGUAGUUUGUCCCAAGGUGUCUGCCUCCUCACCCAGAGCAAGACCUCCACCUCCUCACCCAGAGCCAGACCUCCACCUCCUGUCAGAAGUCCUCCAGAACAGCUGAAAGGUGAGGCUGAGAGGCUUGGGACCGGAGGCUUGUGGCGCCAGGAUGGACCAGAGACUGAGGCUGGAGACCAGGGGCCUGCAGCACCGGACCAGAGGACCAAGAAUCCAUGGCUGAAGGAGCUGAUGGAGGAGGCGUACUGAAGGAGCUGAUGGAGUCGUGCUGAAGGCCCUGCCUAGUGGAGGAGCUGAUGGAGGCCCUGCCUGGUGAAGGACGUCUGUCGUGGGACCAGGACUCUGUCUGAGGAGAGCUGCUGGAGGAGCUGAGACGCUGGAGGACGACUAGGAACCGACCAACAAGGAUUCCUCAUAAAACGUGUUUCUGGAGCGGAGGCGAGCUGGUAGGGGAGCCGUGAAUCUGGAGGAUGACCAUCACUCUACCAACAUGGAUUGCGUUGGGGCCAGACUCGCGCUGUUUGUUCCAGACCAGGACACUGGCUGAGGAGAGCUGAUGGAGGAGCCAAGACUCUGGGGGACGACAUCACUCUACCAACCAGGAUCCUCAGACAAAUUACGUUUAUAACCAGACCAGGAAUCUGGUGGACUGAUGGAGAGGCCGUACAUCUGGAAGGCAAAUCCUGAGGACAACCAGGACUCUACCAUCAUGGAUUCCUCACACACCUGAGCUGAACCCUACCUGAUCCUGUUUGGUCGGGGGUAGACACACCUGAGCUAAACCCGUCCUGAUCCUGACAUCCUGCUGGUCCCGUCUCCUCAGUUCAUCCGAGCCUCGUCCUCCAGAAGACCUGCUGAGCUCAGCAGUCUGAGGCUGAUGGAUCAAUGACCUCCAGUGGGAGUGAUCUUCUUGAUCCCACAUGUAACCGUGUGCUUCCACACGUCUUUCUCUCACGUCUGUCACUAACCUCACUACUUCACUACUUCUCUACUGCUUCCUCUUUUCUUCCUUCUCUGUGGUUCAAACCUUUACACUGAAGGCGCGUCUUCCUGCCCUCAGAGGGUUUAGCGUUAGGGUUGAGAGUCAGGGUUUAGAGUCAGGGACAGAGCUGGUCAGGGAGGACUGCUUUUACACAAACCUCUUCACUUGCUUUCGGAAUGGUGGUGUCAUUUUGAAAAGAUUCAUUUGGGAAAAUAUUUUCCUCUGCUUUCCUUUACAAAAUUGUAUUAAACUUCUGUCAAGUGUUUUUGUUUAUAUAUUAAAAUCCCACAUUGA